AGCUCCAGCAGCGUAUAUUUAUGUUGCUGCGUUUAAAAAGCUCGUAGUUGAAGCGUCAGACGCGGGACAACGGUCGGCCGCACGGCCGCUCCGUUCGGACCGCGGCCAGUCGCAAACGGAGGCCGUCGCUUGCACUUAACCGUGUGAGCGCGGCGCUGCUGCACGUUCACCUUGAGGAAAGUGAACCGCUCAAAGGAAGCGUUACGUCCGAACAAUACAGCAUGGUAUGAUGGAACAUGGGCUGGCGCUCUGUUCGAUGGUUUAAGAGAUGGCGAGCCAAUGAUUAAUAGUGACUGCCGGGGGCAUUCGUACUCGGACGGGAGAGGUGAAAUUCAAGGAUCGUCCGAAGACGCUCAACUGCGAAAGCAUUUGCCAAGAAUGUUUUCAUUA
rnacentral:rRNA from 1 species